rnacentral:rRNA from 1 species
GGGGAAUAUUGCACAAUGGGGGGAACCCUGAUGCAGCGACGCCGCGUGAGUGAAGAAGUAUUUCGGUAUGUAAAGCUCUAUCAGCAGGGAAGAAAAUGACGGUACCUGACUAAGAAGCCCCGGCUAACUACGUGCCAGCAGCCGCGGUAAUACGUAGGGGGCAAGCGUUAUCCGGAAUUACUGGGUGUAAAGGGUGCGUAGGUGGUAUGGCAAGUCAGAAGUGAAAACCCAGGGCUUAACUCUGGGACUGCUUUUGAAACUGUCAGACUGGAGUGCAGGAGAGGUAAGCGGAAUUCCUAGUGUAGCGGUGAAAUGCGUAGAUAUUAGGAGGAACAUCAGUGGCGAAGGCGGCUUACUGGACUGAAACUGACACUGAGGCACGAAAGCGUGGGGAGCAAAC